rnacentral:rRNA from 1 species
GACGAACGCUGGCGGCGUGCUUAACACAUGCAAGUCGAACGGAAAGGCCCUGCUUGCAGGGUGCUCGAGUGGCGAACGGGUGAGUAACACGUGGGUGAUCUGCCCCUUACUUUGGGAUAAGCCUGGGAAACUGGGUCUAAUACUGGAUAGGACCAUGCUGUAGGUGGUGUGGUGGAAAGAUUAGUUUCGGUAAGGGAUGAGCUCGCGGCCUAUCAGCUUGUUGGUGGGGUAAUGGCCUACCAAGGCGUCGACGGGUAGCCGGCCUGAGAGGGUGGACGGCCACAUUGGGACUGAGAUACGGCCCAGACUCCUACGGGAGGCAGCAGUGGGGAAAAUUGCACAAUGGGCGCAAGCCUGAUGCAGCGACGCCGCGUGGGGGAUGACGGCCUUCGGGUUGUAAACUCCUUUCAGCCAUGACGAAGCCCUUGUGGUGACGGUAGUGGUAGAAGAAGCACCGGCUAACUACGUG